AAUGUUUUUAAUUAUUGACUGGCCUUGUUCUUAUGUUUUGUCAAACUCUAUUGGGCUUUAAAAACAAAAGAAUUAUCAUUACUAAUUGGCCAAGCCCAUUCCAAUAACUCAACCGACAAAAUAGAAAAGAUUCUCUUUCUUUUCUCUCUGGACAGAUCGAAAAAAAAAAUCAUCUGAUGCCGAUUCAUGUGGCCAUGAGAUCCAACGAAAAUGAAGUAGCCGCCGAGUGAUUUUCCUCUGAUCUAACCCGGUUUUGCCUGCAUGUGAUUUCUGAUGACUUCUAUCAACAUAUAUUCCAGCGUUAAAUGGUUUUUGAUCUGUUCAAAAAUUAUUGAAAUACAAUUCGAGAAAAAUAUAAGUAUUCUGUUAAGACAACGUUUUUUGUUGUAUCACAAUCUUCCUGUCUUAACAGAUAUCAUAUAAUAAAUUACUGUUUUAUAAAAAAUCA